GAUGAACGUUGGCGGCGUGCCUAACACAUGCAAGUCGAACGGAAAUAGCAAUAUUUGAGUGGCGCACGGGUGAGUAACACGUAGCUAAUCUACCUCAAAGCGCGGGAUAACGUGUCGAAAGACAGGCUAAUACCGCAUAAGCUCCCGGUCUGUAGAGGGUUGGGAGAAAAGGCGUAAGUCACUUUGAGAUGAGGCUGCGGCCCAUCAGCUAGUUGGUGCGGUAAUGGCGUACCAAGGCGACGACGGGUAGGGGACCUGAGAGGGUGACCCCCCACACUGGGACUGAGACACGGCCCAGACUCCUACGGGAGGCAGCAGUGAGGAAUAUUGCACAAUGGGCGAAAGCCUGAUGCAGCGACGCCGCGUGGGUGAAGAAGGUUUUCGGAUCGUAAACCCUUUUCUGUGUGACGAGCAAGGACGGUAGCACAGGAAUAAGUCUCGGCUAACUACGUG
rnacentral:rRNA from 1 species